AAAAUCUGAACCAAUACUCUGAUUGCAUAAACUUUUCGCCUUUAGUAAAGAUUUCCGUGGAGAGGAACAAUUCUGAUUCUUAGCCCAAUUUUUUGUGGCCUUGCACCUGCAAGUCU
rnacentral:snRNA from 1 species